CACAAUGGGCCCUGAGCCCAUCCCAUUUUUCUAUGAAGGUGAGGGGACAAUCACAGGGAUUUCCAUGUGCGCCAUCAAUCAUGGUAGGUAAGUUAUCACUUCAGUCUUCAGAACGCACUGCGAGAACAAGAGCUGGAGUGACGACCCAGGAGGAUACUGAAGAAGAGCGACGCCGAAGUAGGUCUGUCAAUUAAUCCUGUUCAAAAAGUUACUCGGGCAUUCGACCAGACAGGAAUUGCAAAUCUUGCUCUUGUGGAUUGUGAUCAAGUACAAAAAUAUGCGGUUGAGAUUGAAAUAAUUGGAGGUCUUCGUUAUAUUAUAUUUAUAAUUUAGUUAGUUUUUUAACCUGGAAAAUAAGAUUGUUUGCUAUAUGCGAAGCUGUAAAGUUGAAAUAUUGUUUUUGUUGCUAACAUGUAUUAUUGCUUUAAAUAGUAUAUUUUUUACUUAGACCUAAUUCCCAUGUUUAAUACAAAAGAAGCAGUAAUUCUUA